CUAAUAGAGAUGCAUUGAUUCAAUGCAUCUCUAUGAGGAUAUGCUGAUUGGCCAGUGCUGUGUUUGGCUUGUUCUAGAUCACAUAUGGAAGGCUGGUGGGAUAAUGGGACACAUCAAGGUCUGAGUGGACAAAGGGCCACUAGAGCUGCUUCAUAGUCCAGUGCUGCGCAAUGUGCAGCACCAAUUUGAGCGUCUCCACUCUCUGCAUGAAGGCACUGAACGCUCCCCUUACAGAUGCCCUAUGAGGAUAUGCUGAUUGGUGUGGCAAAGUGCAGCAUUUUGCUGAACAUACGCAAUAGCCUCACAAUGCUUUCCUACGG